rnacentral:lncRNA from 1 species
UGUGGCUCACCUAACCUGGCAUGUGUUUUCCCUCCCUCUAUUGCGCCCCCUGCUUCCCACCCGAGGACCCUGCAGUGGGACACUGACCCCUCUGUUCUGCAGCUGCAGGAUGACUCUGAGCUAGGGCGCAGGAUGCAUAGACUGGGGGCGUCUAAGAUCACACAGGUGGACUUCCUACCCAGAGAGGUGGUGUCGUAUUGCAAAGAGACUCAGACGCCCAUCACUGGCCCUACCCAUCUGUCUGAGGGAUGCGCUAGGUGUCAACACUCCUCUGUCAGUGGCAGUACAGGCGCUGGCACGGCCUCUAACAACCUAACCCUCUAACACAGCACUGGACCCUCUCCAAGUCACACAGACAGGCAGGCAGGCCAACCCACCCCAGCCUUCAUCUCCCCAGUGAUGAGCGUGAGCUUGCACAUUUCAGCAUCAUGCCAACACUUCCUGGGGAUUCAGAAUAAAAAGGGAUCUUUGAUCUCUUCUAGUUACUAGUUGGAAUAUAUUCUUAGGCUUACCAAAUGGCACCCUAUUCCCUAUGUAGUGCACUACUUUUGACCUGAGCCCUAUGGGUCCUGAUCAAAAGUAGUGCACUUCACAGGGAAUAGGGUGCCAUUUGGGACAAAUACGAAAACAUAUAAUGCUGUGAAACCCAGUGGUAUGGUUAUGCACUGUGGUAGCUGUAUCUCUCACUACAGCACAAUAUGGGUCGUAUCUAACUACUGUGGUUGCUG